rnacentral:rRNA from 1 species
GAUGAACGCUGGCGGCGUGCUUAACACAUGCAAGUCGAACGGUGAAGCCCAGCUUGCUGGGUGGAUCAGUGGCGAACGGGUGAGUAACACGUGAGCAACCUGCCCCGGACUCUGGGAUAAGCGCUGGAAACGGCGUCUAAUACUGGAUACGAGCUUCAGCCGCAUGGCUAGGAGCUGGAAAGAUUUUUUGGUCUGGGAUGGGCUCGCGGCCUAUCAGCUUGUUGGUGAGGUAAUGGCUCACCAAGGCGUCGACGGGUAGCCGGCCUGAGAGGGUGACCGGCCACACUGGGACUGAGACACGGCCCAGACUCCUACGGGAGGCAGCAGUGGGGAAUAUUGCACAAUGGGCGGAAGCCUGAUGCAGCAACGCCGCGUGAGGGAUGACGGCCUUCGGGUUGUAAACCUCUUUUAGCAAGGAAGAAGCGAAAGUGACGGUACUUGCAGAAAAAGCGCCGGCUAACUACGUGCCAGCCGCCGCCGUAAAAC